GAGUUUGAUCGUGGCUCAGGACGAACGCUGGCGGCGUGCCUAACACAUGCAAGUUGAGCGGAGAUAUGGAGAGCUCGCUCUUUAUAUUUUAGCAGCGAACGGGUGAGUAACACGUAGAUAAUUUGUCCUAUAUUGGGGGAGUAGGCCGAUGAAAAUUAGGUAUUAAUAACCGCAUACAGCUAUUUAACGCAUGGGGAGGACAGUGAAAGGGGAAACUUGAUAUAGGAGGAGUCUGCGGCACAUUAGCUAGUAGGUGGGGUAAGAGCUUACCUAGGCGACGAUGUGUAGCCGGUCUGAGAGGAUGAAC
rnacentral:rRNA from 1 species